GCUCAGAUCACCUUUGUGUAUGCAUCACAAAUCACCGUAUGGUCGCUUUUUGGUGACGUCACUUCGUGUCUGUCCACGCGGUUCGAAGCGUACUGUUGGAAUCUGUUGCAAUCCAACGUGAGGCGUCGCUAUAAGAAGAAAAGCUGCUAGUGCUGCUCACCAGCCUGUUGGGCCCCUCUGUAGCCAUCUGAAGAUGAGCUCCAAAUGGCAGAGUCAUCUGAUGCCACAGCGCUGGUGUCGCUCAGCAGUCGGUUGGUUUGUCACCAGUCUGUGGAGCCCUCGGGGAAGGAGCGAGGUCAUGUUUGCAGAUCCUCAGGAUCCUGUCAGCGCUCUUCACCGGCAUGUCAAUGAAGACAUGUUUAAAGAGUUUUCGGAAGAGGAGUUUGAGGACAGAGGAAAGAGCUAAUCUGAGGACGUGUUUGAGCCAUACUUGGAAAAAAGGUUGAUAGAGAUUCAUCAGAGAAGAGCAAAUUCAAACGCAAAGGGUAAGUAAAGUCUUUUUUUUUUUUUUUUUUACAAUGCCUUAUGGGCUGAAUAGGUGAAUCCCUUUUACAUGCAUCAUCGACUGUCAGCACGUUAUCACAAAUGUACAUGUUAGCACAUUGUGACAGCAUGUCCAUGAAAGUUGUUAGAAAUUGUUUUACAAGGUUUUUAUAGGCCCUAUGUGAGAGGCGAAUCGUAGGGGUGUAACACUUCGUUUUAAUAACGGUUCCAUUCGUGGUAGCGACAAACAAGUAAGGAACAAUAAAUGGCAAAUGCCUUGAGAUUUCAUUUGAAGAAAGUGCAACCAACACAGUUGUCAUAAAAGUCAACAUAGUAUCAUUUACAUUUUUCAUCAUUAAAAAGUCCAGGGAAGAAAAGUGUAAUUUCAUGUAGGCCUCACUGCAAAUUGCAUGCACACAGUAAUUUCGGGGGAAAAUGAAAUAUCAUCUACAGAUAGAUAUUAAAGUGAAUUUAUAUCGUAUAUACUUUUUAUCGUGUUGUGACAGUCUGAUCCAUGAGUUUGAAAGGCGUAAAGUAGGACUUAAGUUUUGAUGUGGUCCAACAGUGUAUGAAUGUAAAGUAUAUACAGUGAGCGUCAUAAGUAUUUGCACCCCCUGUGAUUUUGCAAGUUCUCCCACUUAGAAAAUAGGGAGAGAUCUGAAAUUUUCGUCAUAGAUGCAUUUCCACUUUUAAAGACAUAAUCUUAAAAAAAAAAAAAAUCCUGAAAUCACAUUUCGAUUUUUUUGUAAAUUACUAUAGUUCAUAAGUAUUUGCACCCUUGAGAUAACAGGUAUUUUAGCCCACUCUUCUACACAAAUCCUCUCUAGAUCUGUCAGGUUUCGGGACUGUUGCUGAGCAACACGAAGUUUCAGCUCCCUCCAAAGAUUUUCUAUUGGAUUUAGGUCUGGAGACUGGCUAGGCCACUCCAGAACCUUGAUAUGCUUCUUACGCAGCCACUCCUUGGUCAUCUUGGCUGUGUGCUUCGGAUCAUUGUCAUGUUGGAAGAUCCAGCCACGACUCAUCUUCAAUGCUCUGGCUGAGGGAAGGAAAUUGUUGUCCAAAAUCUGGCGAUACAUGGCCCCAUUCAUCCUCUGUUUAAUACAGUACUGUCGUCCUGUCCCCUUUGCUGAAAAGCACCCCCAAAGCAUGAUGUUUCCACCCCCAUACUUAACAGAAGGGAUGGUGUUCUUGGGGUGCAACUCAGCCUUUUUUUUCCUCCACACACGACGAGUGGAGUUUGCACCAAAAAGCUCUAUUUUUGUCUCAUCUGAUCACAUGACAUUCUCCCAUGACCCCUCUGGAUCAUUCAGAUGGUCCCUGGCAAAUUUUAGACGAGCCUGCACAUGUGCUGACUUCAACAGGGGAACCUUCAGUGCAAUGCAUGAUUUUAAACCUUUACGCUGUAGUGUUCUGACUUUGAAACUGUGGUUCCAGCUCUCUUCAGGUCAUUGACCAGCUCCUGCCGUGUAAUUCUGGGCUGAUUUAUCACUUUUCUAAUCAUGAGUGAUUCCCCACGAGCAGAGAUCUUACAUGGAGCCCCUGUCCGAGGUAGAUUAGCAGUCAUGUUUAGCCUUUUCCAUUUUCUAACAAUUGCAGCAGCUGUUGAUUUAUCCUCACCAAGCUGCUUUCCAAUUGUUCCAUAGCCUUUUCCAGCUUUGUGGAGCUCUACUAUUUUGUCUCUGGUGUCUUUGGAAAGCUUUCUUGUCUUGCCUAUGGUAGUAGUUGGAUUAUGACUGACUGUGGGGUGCAAAGGUGACAUUAAUGAGCUCAAAGGGGUGGUAGGUGGAUGGUUACUCGUGGGGUAAAGGUGGACUUUUUUAGGGUGGACUGAGAGCUCUUUGAGAGUCAAAAUUAUUGCUGAUUCUCAAGGGUGCAAAUACUUAUGAACCAUAGUAAUUUACAAAUAAAUCAUUAAAAGAUCAUACAAUGUGAUUUCUGGAUUUUUUUUUUUUUAGAUUAUGUCUCGAAGAGUGGAAAUGCAUCUAUGAUGAAAAUUUCAAAUCUCUCCCUAUUUUCUAAGUGGGAGAACUUGCAAAAUUGCAGGGGGUGCAAAUACUUAUGCCCCUCACUGUAAGUAUAAAGCGUGGUCAUGAAAUGACAGGCAGAAUGAUUUGAGUGUAGCGUCUGAGGUGUAGGGAUUUACUAGUCCACCACACUGUGAUCCUUGGUAACCAUAUGACGUCAUCCGUGCGCCCCCUCAACAGGCAUGACUAAUCAACAUACACCAAAUCAUAGUGAUAUAGAAGUAACGUUUAAAGUCUAUCGUUGAAAGUGCAAAAAAACAUCCAUAUAAAGCCUGGUGUGCUGAAAUGCAUUGUUUUAUUUACUAGUAUUGAUACAAUCAAUUUACCAUUUGUUAGAUUGAUAUGUUGUCCUGAAUGUAAAUUUGCUGAACACAGAUCGAUGUAGCUGAGUUGUUACACCCCUAGUGAAUUCCUGUUACAUUGCGUUGUGACUGUUGUCAUAUGUCUGAUGCACCUGUUACUGUAGGAGGGGUUGAGGAUUUAGGGUUUGGGUUAGGGGGUUGGGGUUUAGGGGUAGGUUAGGGUUAGGUUUCUGUACCGGAUUAGGGUUCUAGAGUGCGCGGGUUAGCGUUAGGGUUCUGUACCGGAUUAGGGUUCUGGAAUGCGCGUGCACGCGUUGGAGGGGACUUUGCGUUAGGGUUAGGGUUAGGGUUCUGUACCGGAUGCGCGCGUUGGAGGGGACUUGGUGUUAGGGUUAGGGUUCUGUACCGGAUUAGGGUUCUAGAAUGCACGUGCGCGCGUUGGAGGGGAGUUUGGGUUAGGGUUAGGGUUCUGUACCGGAUUAGGGUUCUAGAAUGCGUGCGCGUGUUGGAGGGGAGUUUGCGUUAGAGUUAGGG